UACGUAGGGUGCGAGCGUUAAUCGGAAUUACUGGGCGUAAAGCGUGCGCAGGCGGUUUGCUAAGACCGAUGUGAAAUCCCCGGGCUUAACCUGGGAACUGCAUUGGUGACUGGCAGGCUAGAGUAUGGCAGAGGGGGGUAGAAUUCCACGUGUAGCAGUGAAAUGCGUAGAGAUGUGGAGGAAUACCGAUGGCGAAGGCAGCCCCCUGGGCCAAUACUGACGCUCAUGCACGAAAGCGUGGGGAGCAAACGAGGAU
rnacentral:rRNA from 1 species